GUGUACAGCCGGUUCGGGGCAGCGUCAGUAGGUAUUAUAGACCGAGUCAAGCGCGCACGCAUAUCAAGCUAUACUCUCUCCAACUUGUGCUACUGCUGCUCAACUACUAUACUGCUCGGAGAGAGUCGAGGGCUUUCGUAACGCCGGCUAGAAUCAUCGAUGCGAGAAUAGGUAAAGAAUUUAAAUCGGUUUUAAAGUAUGCCUUAUAUUGCGAUGUUGAUUGUAUUAACGAGGAAAAUCAUUAAUUUCGGCGGUGAGAAUUGGAUGAAUUAUUAAUAAGAGUUUCAGUCUCCAUCAUCGUUGGAUUGUAUAAAAUUUAUAAUUCUUUUAACGCGGUAUCGAAUCAGUCUGGAUCGAACAUCCGCAGCGAUAGGCCGUCGAAGCUGGUGCACAUUAUGAGAGCAAACAUGAAGCUCGGCCACGACGUAAGCGAAUCAAAGUCCCGAUGGCCGGAGAUAACGGACGAUCUUCUGGAGGAGCUCGAGUCCUGGGGAAUCGAACGGUCUCUCGGUAAAAUACCGGCCGAGCAACUGGCCAUAUUCGCGCACAGUUGCUACUACGACAAGAGCGCGACCCUCAAGUGCAUGGAUACCUACUACAGGAUGCGACGCGAUGUGCCGGAUUUUUUUAAGAAGAGGGACGUGCUGCUCGAUCAUCACCAGCAGAACUUGAAAGUCGUCUACUACAUCGAGCUUCCAAAACCGAGCCCGGAAGGCUACCGCAUAAUCUACCACGGCCUGCGGAACUACAAUUCCUCGAGUUACAUGCUCAACGACGCGGUAGCGGCUCUCCUGAUGACGGUCGACUCGAACCUCUACACCGAGGGCUGCGUCCCCGGCCACGUCUUCCUCUUCGACAUGCGAGGCGUCCGUCCUGGUCACCUUCUGCGCGUCUCCAUUACCAACCUCCGUCGGUUCUUCGAAUAUCUCCAGGAAGCCAUGCCGAUCCGGCUCAAGGCCAUCCACGUGCUCAACUGCGUCUGGUUCAUGGACAAGGUUCUCUCGCUCGUCAGACCCUUCAUGAAGAAGGAGCUCUUUGACAUCCUGCACUUGCACACCGGCGACGUAUCCGACGUUUAUCAGUACAUUCCACCCGAGUGUCUUCCAAAAGACUUUGGCGGCAGACUCGACGACGUCGAGACGCUUCACGCGGAGCAGUGCCAAAAGCUCGUUCAACUGCGAAGCUACUUCCUGGAGGAGGAGCAACUGUUUCGGGGCUACCAGAGUGUAUCCUCGAGGAAAUCGACGGCCGCUUGCGCCGGUACCGAGGGCAACGUCAACGGAAGGUCGGACGAGGACGCAGCCGGGGAAGACGCUGGCUGAUAUGAUAAUUAUCAUGGAAAUUCAAAAUCGCGCGCGCAUAUUCAACUUCGCGCGAUAAUGAGCUUCCGCAUCGCAUGUACAUACCGCGAUCGUCGUAAUUUUGUAUUAUAAAAUAUAAUUACCAGCUGUAUACUUUAUUGUUUCAUUUUUCUUUACGGCGAUAUACCGCUGUCGCUGUACGCAGAUGAAAAAAAAAAGAUAAAUAAAAAAAGCGUCGACGCGUAAAACGUCCGUUUACGUAAUCUGGUAAUUGCUGAUAUGAGUUUCAUAAAGCCUGUGUUUAGAGAGUGCGAGAAUGCAUAUAACCGUCGUCGUGUGCUUUUACGUAACUGUCUCUCUCGUGCGCGCGAAUAUAAUCGAAUAGACUGCAAAAACGUCGCUAAUACAAUAAGUCGAUAUCAUCAACUCAUGCAGUAGUAGUAGUGCGUAUAGUAAAUUUUCGUUGCACCGUCCGACCAUGCCGGGGUAUCACUACUCGGGGGUUGAUGCGAUGGUGGUGGUGGUGGUCGUGGUGGUGGUGUAGUAUAUAUACCGGCGCUCGUUUUUAUUCGUCCGUUUUCGUCCUGGUCGUGGCCGCCUCUGAUUCGAGGCUUCUCGCGCAAACUCCAUUUACGUGUUUGACUACCGGCCGGAGACAGACGGAGCGAGAGAGAGAGAGAGAGAGAGAGAGAGAGAGAGAGAGAGAGAGAGAGAGAGAGAGAGAGUAAGAGCUUUUGCGGCGUCCUUCGCUUUUUUAGGUUAGUGCUGGGAUAUAAUCUGUUGCCCUGCUUGCAUCGCUUCCCUUUGUGCCUUGUUCCUUACUGUCGGGCGAUUCCUUAAACAUUUUUACUACGAUUCAUAUGUACAGUCGUGACGAGGAGCAGAGGAUUUUUACUUAACGCCUGUAUACAAGUUAGCGCCGAAGGUCCUAACGACGAGAGUCAACACGGCCACACACAUAGGUGGGAGUCGAUGCACCUUCGAAGCGUUUAAAACUGAGCGAGGUAACAUAUAGUCUGCAAUGAUGCGUCGAGUCUUUCUGACCAUCAUCUCCGCCCUCGUGGCCUUCUGUACCGAGAUGGAGUUUUCCGCCGCCGAUGACUGCAGGGCUUGCGUCCAGCUCAACUCUUUCUCGUUCGACAAGGUCAUUCCAAAAUUCAAAGCAGCCGUCGUCAAGUUCGACGUGGCUUUUCCCUACGGCGAGAAACACGAGGAAUUUUCCAAAGUAGCCAUGAGCAGCCGAGACUCGAUAGACCUUCUGGUAGCCGAAGUCGGUGUCAAGGACUUCGGCAACAAGGACAACUCGGAACUGGCUCAGCGAUACGGUGUAAGCAAGGACGACUACCCGGUCGUUCUGCUUUUCAUACAGGGAAAGACUGAGCCUUACAAAUUCGUCGCUGAGACCGACGCCGACUUCACCGCUGACAAUAUCAAGAGAUUCGUUAAAAAGAAGUCUGGAGUGUACCUGGGACUGCCCGGUUGUGUCGAGAAGCUGGACAGACUAGCCGAGGAGUUUAGGACUUCUAGUGAGAAGGACAGACAGGAAAUUUUGAACAAGGCAAAGGUGUUUGAGGAUACUCUACCGGAGGAACAUCGUCCAGCAGCUAAGGUCUACGUGAAAACUAUGGAGAGAAUAAUGGAACGAGGCGACGUGUUCGUUCAGACCGAGCACACGAGAAUCGAGGGCCUACUGAAGGGAAAAUUGUCGAGCGACAAGAAGCGAACAAUGGAGGAGAGAAGGAACAUUUUGCAGUCUUUCACGCACAGAGAUGAACUAUAAUAAAUAUAGAAAGAAACUAGCUGCGGAGAGCACAGACACGUUCGAUCGGAGUUUAAGUUUUAUACCUAGUAAUUAGCAUUUUUCUCUGGACAAGUUUGCGCGAAUCAAAUUUCCAGGACCAAACGCCAGCAGUUCGUUGUUGAAAUGUUAUUUUAAGCACGUUUGAGCGUAGCUCUAGACCGGGAUUUGCAGUCGUUGUUACACGCGCUCAAAGCUCCUUCGAAACGAAUCGCCUAAAUUUUUACACGUUAAAGUUUUAAGGUUCCUAAUUUGUACCAUUUUCUCUAAAGCGGACAAAAAGAAAAAAAUAAUAACAAUGAUUUAGCGGGAUACUACCAUGAAAAGUCAGACAAUUUUACAAAGUAUUAUCGCAUUUAUUAUUUCUUACUUUUAUCAUUUUACAAUGUAGUAUGCUUUAAUUCAGCAAUCACUAGCCACUGAAGAUUCUACGUUCAUCAUACUGCAUAUUUUGUUUUAAAAAUUACAUAUAUCAUGUACAACAUCGGUAUAAAUAUCGUUCUUACAUAUAAAAUUAAUGAAUCAAUACUUAAACUUGUUACGAAACUGACAAUUUUUAUGCAAUAAAAAAAUUCUUUUGGUA